UCGGGAAUUUUGGGCAAUGGGCGAAAGCCUGACCCAGCAACGCCGCGUGAGGGAUGAAGUAUUUCGGUAUGUAAACCUCGAAAGAAUGGGAAGAAUAAAUGACGGUACCAUUCAUAAGCUCCGGCUAACUACGUGCCAGCAGCCGCGGUAAUACGUAGGGAGCAAGCGUUGUUCGGAUUUACUGGGCGUAAAGGGCGCGUAGGCGGCGCGGUAAGUCACUUGUGAAAUCUCUGAGCUUAACUCAGAACGGCCAAGUGAUACUGCUGUGCUAGAGUGCGGAAGAGGCAACCGGAAUUCUUGGUGUAGCGGUGAAAUGCGUAGAUAUCAAGAGGAACACCUGAGGCGAAGGCGGGUUGCUGGGCCGACACUGACGCUGAUGCGCGAAAGCCAGGGGAGCAAACG
rnacentral:rRNA from 1 species